rnacentral:lncRNA from 1 species
GGGCAAACCCUAAGCCAGGUGGGCCUAAGGCCCACCAGGGGUGAGCCACACCCCUCCUCCCCCCCCUUGGCCGCCGCACCAGCCCCCACCAAGGGCUGCUGCCCCCCCAGGAGAGGGAAAUCCUCAAGGGGGCGUAGCCCCUCCCUUCCCCUAUAUAUAGUGGGCACUUUUGGCCAUUGGAGAUCAGACUUUGGCCUCUCUCUCGGUGCAGCCCUGCCCUUCUUCCUCCUCCUCUGUGCCGGUGCUUGGUGAAGCCCUGCUGGGAGACCUCGUCUCUCCAUCGACACCACGCCGUCGUGUUGCUGGAGUUCUUCCCCAACCUCUCCCUCCUCCUUGCUGGAUCAAGGUGCGGGAGACGUCACCGGGCUACACGUGUGUUGAAUGCGGAGGUGUCGUAGUUCGACACUAGACCGGAAUCCCUGCGAGUACGACUCCAUCAACCGCGUUCUAGCAACGAUUCCGCUUAGCGAUCUUCAAAGGUAUGAAGAUGCUCUUACCCCUCUCUCGUUGCUGGUCUCUCCAUAGGAAGAUCUGAAUAUGCGUAGGAAAUUUUGAAUUUAUGCUACGUUACCCAACAAAAGGAUGAUGAGGAUUUUGAGCGAUUCGUUGAAAUGAUCAGACUUGUCUUUCUGCAGAUGCGUUUGACUGAUAUGCUCAAGAUGUCUCCGUAUGUUAAGUACAUGAAAGAUACUUUGACUAAUAAGAGGAGGAUACCUGAUCUUGAGAUCUUCGCCAUGCUUGCUAAUUACACCUUCAAGGGUGGAACUCCGAAGAAACUAGGUGAUCCCGGUGUGCCCACUAUACCUUGCUCCAUUAAAGGCAACUACGUUAGAACUGCGUUAUGCGAUCUUGGAGCCGGUGUUAGUGUUAUGCCUCUCUCUCUUUAUUGUAUACUUGAACUGGAUAAGUUGACACCCACUAAAAUCUCUCUGCAAAUGGCCGACAAAUCAACUCCUUUCCCUAUUGGCAUUUGCGAGCAUGUGCCUGUUGUGGUUGCUAAUACCACUAUCUUAACAGACUUUGUUAUCUUGGAUAUUCCCGAGGACGAUGCCAUGGCUGUCAUUCUCGGAAGACCCUUUUUAAACACUGCAGGGGCUGCUAUAGAUUGCAACAAAGGCAAUGUCACUUUCCAUGUCAAUGGUAAUGAGCAUACGGUGCACUUUCCGAAGAAACAAUAUCGAGUACAUUGCAUCAAUGCUAUCAAAAAAUGUUCAUCGAUUCUUAUUGCGAGCUUUGAAUGCCAUAUUCCUCGCAUUAAGAUGAAGUACGAUUUGCUUGUUGGGGAGAUACACAUCCCCAUUGAGGUGACCUAGUGACUAUUCGGAAAUUCUCCGUCUUCUUUUGCGAUUCGAGAAUGUUUUGUCGAGGGGAUUUGAUCAACCCCAUUGACGGAUUUCUUUCGAUGACCAUGAGAUGGAUGAAUCAAGGAGUCACAAACCUCUGUUCCAAGCUUUCACUUUAGGUUGCUUAGAAGAAAAAUGAUAGGUUUAGUUUAUUUUUCCCUGUUUUCUGUUUUAGCGUCCGGUAGAAAAGUACCCCGAAAAUCAAAGUUCUCCGAACGCUGUGAAAAUCAAGUAUGAUUUUUUCUGGAAUAUUUGAAAAAUACUCGAACAAAGAGUCUGUCUGGGGGCCACACCAGUGGGCCACAAGCCCUAGGGGCAUAGGCACCCCCUGGACGCGCCACCCAGGCUUUUGGGGACCACAUGCACCCCCUCCACUCAUUCUUGCUCCCAUCCAGUUCUCCUACCUCUAGAAAAAAUCGUUUCGCAGCUCAAACCCAUGUUCUUGCUCCUCCAGCUGGGAUUUUCGAUCUCUUUGCUCAAAUCACCGUUCUCCGAACUGUUUUGGGGAAAUUACUCCUUCGUAAGUGACUCCUCCAUUGGUCCAAUUAGUUUUUGCUCUAGUGCCUUAUACUCCGCGUAUUUUUGCUGCCUUGGUGACCAUGUUCUUGAGCUUUGCAUGCUGAUUCUAGCUGGUCCCAAGUAGUUUUGAUGCGUAAUAUGGUCUCUAGGCACUUGUUGGAGUAGUUGCUAUGAGUUUCGUUGAGCCUUAUUCACUUUUCCUUAGAAUCACUAAAAAUUUCAGAAAUUUUCAGAGAUAGAAAAGGGAAAAGAUGAGGAGGUUCUUAAGAGGCUCGUCAAGCCGUGACCCCAAGGAUGAUGGGAGUGAGAAGAAGCCCAAGUAUUUGGUCCCUCGAGUCGCAGAAGUUCGAGCGUGCGAGUGGCCAAGCGACGUGUUCUUACGUGCUGCUGGAAUUUAUGAGGACUUUUAUCACUUGGUGGAGAACGCAGGCCUUACUGCCUUCGUUGAAGAUAAGUGUCCGCAAUACCUCCGCCUCACUAGUAUCUUCGUACAAAGCUUUCACUUCUAUCCGAGGAAGAAUCCUCCUACGGUUGAGUUUAAACUUUAUGAUAUCCCCCAGCGCAUGUCACUCCAGGAUUUUUGCAAUGUUUGCAAAUUGCCUUACGUUGUGGAUAUUCAUGAACCUCGUCCACGGGACCUGGAAGCUUUCAUUGGUACUAUUGCUGUAGGAGAGGAGAGAGGAGUGUCUUGCGCUAGAGCUGCUAGCAUACAUUUUCCCGUGCUUCGAUACUUCUCACUAUUUGUGGAAAAUGUUUGAUUUGCCGUGGGAAAGCUGGGUCACUUAGUUCCCCAGAUCCUGCGGUCUUGCGCGAAGCCCUUUAUAACGAUAAAACUUAUAGCUUAGGCACUAUAGUAGCUCAAUGGUUGAACCUGAACCGUUCUAAGGGUGUUGUCUAUGGAGGUAUCUACGCUACUCGUCUUGCUAGACACUUUGAGAUACCUAUUAGACUGGUGGAGGAAGAAGAGAUUCUUCUUCCCGAGAGAUAUCUAGAUUAUGAUAGCAUGGUUCGCCAUGACUUUCUUGAUAGAGAUAUAGGUGGAAGGAUGAUUUAUAACCUGGUAUUUAGUUAGGGUACUCGUGAGACUAUUACUUUGUCUGCUCCUUCUUUGUUCAAUCUUCAUGCAGGCAGGUACACUAUUAUGCCCUCGGACAUCUAUGCAUAUUGGGGCUUAGCCCAACCACAGGUGCCCGUGCCCGAGCCGCCAGUCGAGUACCAGACGCCAGUUUAUCAGUGGGAGCCAGAGGAGCUCACACAGCAGUGGCAUCCUCAGUCCACACCGGAGUACCCAGGAGCUGGUUAUUUCCCUCCUUGGGAGUAUACCAAGUUAGGCCAAAAGCCUAAGCUUGGGGGAGUACGUGUUCUCACCGACUUUAAAUUCUUGCUUAUGCUUUCACUUUGCUAGCCAGUGUUCACACUUUGCCACUGUAUCAUCCAUGCUAGUUUAUUUUCUUUUUUCUCAUUUUCUUUUCGUGUGUCUGUCUAGUUUGAGAAAAAAAACAAAAAGAUUUCCUUUUUCUUCUUUUGCUUGUUGGGAGCUUUCCCGUGUAGAGAGUUUUCUUUUUCUUUGGGUCAAGGUAGAAGACAUUGGUUGCAAUGUUUAGUGGCUCUUGCAUGCAUACCUGUUUAGUUUUCAAAGAGCCAUAUUACUUUGUCUUCUCCUUUGUGUUUGCCUGCAGAUUCCAGCUUUAGUCCAACGCACGAGCACGCUUAUUAUUGUUCACUUCGUUCGGUCGUGCAAGUGAAAGGAAAUAAUGACGAUAUAUGAUGAAGUGACUGAGCCUGGAAAAGAUGGUAUGAACUCGAUCUAUUUUGCUUUUGUAAAGAUGACUAGCUCAUCAUGCCUGACUCAGCUUUGUUGUGAGAGAAACAUGUUUGCAAUGAAAACUUAGAGAUCAUAGUUGCUUAUGCCAUGCUUACUUGGCUAGGAUCUUAUAAUUGUUUGUCUUGGUUGCCAACAUGAAUGUUGAGAUGACUAUGAUGUAGUAUUAUAGGAUGAUAUCCUCCUUUGAAUGUUUCAAGUGGCUUGACUUGGCACAUGUUCACGCAUGUAGUUGAAACAAAAUCAACAUAGCCUCUAUGAUGUUCAUGUUCAUGGUGAUUUAUGUCCUACUCAUGCUUGCAUUCAAUGUUAGUUACUCUCAAUACAUUUUGAUGACUGUUGUCGCUCUCUAGUUGGUCGCUUCCCAGUCUUUUGCUAGCCUUCACUUGUACUAAGCGGGAAUACUGCUUGUGCAUCCACCUCCAUAAACCCAAAGUUGUGCCAUAUGAGUCCAUCAUACCUUACUAUGUGCGGUAUCUACCUGUCGUUCGAAGUAAAUUUGCAUGUGCCACUCUCUAAAUAUUCAAGAAAUAAUCUGUUUUGCAUGCGUGAACCGCUCAUGUGGUGACAGGGGGCUAUUGGUAUCUUCCAUGCUAGGCAUGUUAUCCUCGAUAUGUGUUUAUUCACUAUCAUUCACGAGAAAGGGGCCGGUAAUUGGAAUUCCCAGUUCCAUGCUCAAAUGUAAAAGAUAAUUACAAACAAAACUCCCCCAGGAUUGAUGUUGGUAUGGACGGUACCCGAGGAUUAGGCUAGCCGUGGAGUGUGAUUGAUUGGUGGUGGGGGAGUCAAAACUUUACUUUUCUGUUUGGGAACCGCCUAUAGCAUGUGUAGCAUGGAAGAUGUUGAGAACUCUUAGUCAUUGCGUUGACAAUGAAAGCAUGCCACCCAAAAUUAUUAUCUCUGUUUUCAAAGCUUGAGCUCUGGCACCUCUGCAAAUCAAUGCUUCCCUCUGCGAAGGGCCUGUCUAUUUAUGUUCAUGAGUCAUCCUCCUCUUACAAAAGCACCAAUUAGAGAGCACCUCUGUCAUUUUUAUGCUUUGCUUUUAACUGUGUUGAGUAUGACUAUGACUGGAUCUUCAUUGCCUUGAAUUACAAUGUUUAGUCAGCCCUUGGUCUUUGAAGGUGCUCUGCAUUUAUGUUUUGCGGUCUCAGAAAGAGCUAGCGAGAUACCAUCUAUUCGUACUGCUUCAUCUUGCUUUGAUUGAAGUGUUGACAUUUGAGGCUUAUUAUUAUUUGCUCGCUAGUUGAUUAUGCCAUUGAUAUGAGUUUACCGUGAGACCUAGAUGUCAUUUGCUUAUGUGGUUUGCUUGUGAUGUUGCUGAAAUUCUGGUUAUGAGUUAGACAUAGUUGCAACAACAAGAUCAAACAGAGUUCGUCAAAGUUUUUCUUUUGUCUCUCUCAGUUUGUCAACUGAGUUGCUUGAGGACAAGCAAGGCUUUAAGCUUGGGGGAGUUGAUACGUCUCCGUCGUAUCUACUUAUUCAAACUCUUUUGCCCUUGUUUUGGACUCUAAUUUGCAUGAUUUGAAUGGAACUAACACGGACUGACGCUGUUUUCAGCAGAAUUGCCAUGGUGUUGUUUUUGUGCAGAAGUAAAAGUUCUCGGAACAUCCAGAAAAUUUACGUAGAAUUUUUCCGGAAUAAAAAAAAUACCUGCGCAAAGGUCCACGUGAGGGGGCGUGCCAGUGGGCUACAAGCCCACAGGCUGCGGCCACCCCCUAUGGUCGCGUAGUGUAGGGUUGUGGGGACCACGUGGCACCACCGCCCCCAAACUCAGCUCUAUAUUUUCCAUUUCGCCUGGAAAAAAUAAAUCAGAAAUAAGGUUUCAUCGUGUUUUGCGAUACGAAGGCACCGCCACAUCCUGUUCUUCAUCUGGAGGGCAGAUGUGUAGUCCGUUUCGGGCUCCGGAGAGGGGAAAUCGUCGCCAUCGUCAUGAUCAACCUUUCUCCAUCAACAAUUCCGUGAUGCUCUUCAUCGUUCGUGAGUAAUCUCAUCGUAGGCUUGCUGGACGGUGAUGAGUUGGAUGAGAUCUAUCAUGUAAUCGAGUUAGUUCUUGACGGGGAUUGAUCCCUAGUAUCCACUAUGUUCUAGAUUGAUGUUGCUACUACUUUGCCAUGCUUAAUGCUUGUCACUAUGGCUGAGUGUCAUGAUUUCAGAUCUGAACCUAUUAUGUUGUCGCCAAUAUAUGUGUGUUUUAGAUCCUAUCUUGCAAGUUGUAGUCACCUACUAUGUGUUAUGACCCGGCAACCCCGGAGUGACAAUAGCCGGAACCACUCCCGGAGAUGACCAUAGUAUGAGGAGUUCAUGUAUUCACCAAGUGUUAAUGCGUUGGUCCGGUUCUUUAUUAAAAGGAGAACCUUAAUAUCCCGUAGUUUCCAUUAGGACCCCGCUGCCAUGGGAGGGAUGGACAAUAGAUGUCAUGCAAGUUCUUUUCCCUAAGCACGUAUGACUACAUACAGAAUACAUGCCUACAUUAGAUUGAUGAAUGGGAGCUAGUUACAUAUCUCUCCGUGUUAUAGCUGUUACAUGAUGAAUCACAUCCGUCACACUCAUCCAUCACCAAUCCACUGCCUACGAGUCUUUUACUACUGGUCCUGGCUACGUUACUUUGCCUAGGCUUGUCCCUUGCUACAAAAGGGAUUGGUCCACUUUGCUGUUGUUGUCACUACUGCUGUUACUUGUUGCUUUGCUGCUGCUGUCACUACUGCUGUUACUUGUUAUUUUGUUGCUGCUGCUACUACUGUUCCUUGCUACUCCACUGUUACUUGUUGCAAGACUUUUUUGGCGCUAACAUCUCGUCAACAAGGCUUUUUCUGGCGCCGUUGCCGGGGAUUGUCAAAGCUUUUUCUGGUGCCGUUGCUAUCAUACUUUCUUGCUACUGAUACUUUGCUUGCAGACACUAAUCUUUCAGGUGUGGUUGAAUUGACAACUCAACUGCUAAUACUUGAGAAUAUUCUUUAGCUUCCCCUUGUGAGAUAAUCAAUAAAUUUGGGUUGAAUACUCUACCCUCGAAAACUGAUGCGAUCCCAUACGCUUGUGGGACAUCAGAGACCUAGUGCUUCUGUACAACUCUCAUUUUAGAUUCUUUGUAGGUAAACUCCUCUCCAAAUGGGAAGGACCCUAUGUUGUCGAGGAGGUUUAUCGGUCUGGAGAGUGGUGAAAAAUUAAUGACUUCGAAGGUAAAAACCCGAGAGUCGUGAAUGGGCAAAGAAUCAAACAUUAUAUUUUAGGUGCACCCAUUAAUGAGGAGACCAAUAUCAUCCAAGUCAUAACACGGGAAGAUCACAUAAAGUAAGAGGCUGUUUGGUUUCCAGUCUAAGGUUGCCACGCCUAACCUUAGUCAUGCCACAAUACCUUAGGCAUGUGUUUGGUUCAUUGUCACACUUGUGGCUUGCCACACUUUUCUAGUUAUAUGGUCCACAUGUCAUACACUUAUUGUUUUGCCAAAUCUUGCCACACUUGUGGUGUCUAUUUUCUUAGCCACACUUUUUGUGGCAGCCACACUUUGCCUAAGGUUAGUUGUGGCAAAGUUAGUCAUGAACCAAACAGGCCCUAAGUCUUCCGGAAUGCUCCACACACCUGAAAAAGGGUAGGUAUGUGGUACGGUAAGUAAACCGACUCCAAAAAUUCCCAAAAAAUAAUUUAUGUCAGCUUUGGUAUUUUAGAAAAAUUACAACAAUAAAAAGGAGUCCAGGGGACCCACGAGGUAGGCACAUGCCAACAAGGUGCGCCCCCUGAUUUUUUGUGGGGCCCUCGUGCGCCUCCCGGUAUAUGACUUCUUACUGAACACGUAUUCUGGUCUAGAAAAAUUAUUAUAUAUACUCCCGGUUGUUUUGAAUAUCGCACCGCGAGAUUUUCUUCUGUUCUUGUUUCGGGUUGUUUUUCUGACAGAUCUAGAUCACCAUGACGACUCCAGGUUCCUCCAAGGACAAGUUCUUAGAGAAGGUCAUCAACCCGUACCUCCUGGAGGUGAUGAAACACCCUCAAGACAUUGACAUGCAUGAGGGGGUGCUUCACAUCCGUGACGUCCAAGAGCCAAAGAAGGAGGGAAGCGAGAAGGACAAGCUUGCAGAGGUGGAGCAGGAGAUCUUCAAGUGUCAGGGGAUGGUUGAACGUGGUUUGAGUGCUAACCACUCCAUGAUCAGAGACUUCAUCCAGGAGAACAAGCUGGACACUACGAAAGUGGGGAGGUUUUUUUUAAAAUAGAAGAGCGGGUCGAUCAGCUCCAAGGUCAAGUCUAUGAACUCGAAAGCCAAAACUGCGACUAUGAAUCUAGGUUUUAAAGGAUGAGCUUUGCUGCCGGUUUCAGGGCUCCCGAGACAAAAUUCUCUUAUUAUGAUGGGGAGUCUACACCUUGGAAGGCAUAAGAGGACACCCCAACUACACCACCACUGACACCCAAGAAGGACGCUUGAGUACAUGGUUAUGGGCAUCACCCUUGGCUUACAUAAUAAAGAUUAGUUGAGUAUGUAUGCUUUGCUCUCAUUACAUCCAACAUCAUAGCAAAGCAAUGAAAAACAUAUAUAGAGAAAUAUCAUAUGCUUAUCUUAUGAGGAGUAAUGACUUUGCAUAGUAAAAAGUAUAAGUGAUGAAGGUUCUUGAAAAUAAACAAGCAUAGUAUUAAUCAUGUUACAAUCUAAGCAAGACUAGAAAGAGGAGAGGAGAUUCUCAUAUAAAUACACAAUCUUGGACAUCUUUUAUGAUUGUGAUCCCUCAUCAAAUAUUAUAUAUUGAUCAAGUGUUGACGUAGGACAUGUAAGACAACAUAAUGGUGAUGGUACUUUACAUUCAUAUAGAAUUUAUAUGGUCGUGGAUCCUUUAACAUGUGGUGCUUGCUUUAGAUCUUUUGCUAGCCCAAAAACUUUGCACUAAGUAGAAAUACUACUUGUGCAUCCAUAACCCUGAAACCCAGUUUCUUGCCAUGAGAGUCCACUAUACCUACCCAUGGAUUGAGUAAGAUCCUUCAAGUAAGUUGUCAUCGAGGCACCAAGCAAUAUAAAGUUGCUCCUAAAUAUGUAUGAUCUUUUAUUACGAGGGAAAAUAAACUUUGUACGAUCUUGUGAUGGCAAAUAAAUAAAAACGACAAGCUGCAUAAUAAACUUUGCUAUCACAAGGGGCAAUAUAAAGUGAUGUUCCUUUGCAUUAAGAGUUUGCACACCUCUGCUUCCCUCUACGAAGGGCCUAUCUUUUAUCUUUGAAAGUUCACACUUGUGUGUGAGUCACUAAAUUCCUUCAUCUUUCUACUUAUUAAUUCUAUAGUGGCAAGCAUCAUGUGUUGAGGAAAGAUUCAGAUUUAUAUAUCCAAGUGAAUGUAGAUUAUCAUGAUUAUUAUUGUUGACAUUCUCCUUGAGGUAAAUGGGUUGGGCCGCAAAUCAUUUAAGCCCCUAUCUUCCUAUGUGUCCUGUGAAAACAUGAGCUCCAAAAAUAUGACUCGAGUGUGAGGAAUCAUAGAAGAAUAAAUGAUAAUUGAGUAUGUGAACUUGCUAAUAAGAAAGCUCUUACAUAAAAUCUCCUCUCAAAUAUGUUCAGUUAUGAUUGGCCCAUUGACUGAGAAGAUAGUUUGUUGUUUGUCAGCAAAUAUUUAUGCUUGAUACUCCAAUAUUUGUGAAUGGAUUGUUAAUUAUUUAUGAGAAGAUAUAUGAUAAAAUAUUUGCUGCUCUGCUAAUAUUCAUGAUGCUCUCAUGCCUGUAUUUUUAUUUUAUCGACUUCUCCCUCUCAAAUCAUGUGGCCAUUAUUCUUGAGCUCGGCUUUGGCUUGAGGACAAGCGAGGUCUAAGCUUGGGGGAGUUGAUACAUCCAUUUUUCAUCAUGAAUCUUUAUUGAUAUUUUUCUUAUUAUUGUCCAUUAUUCCCUAUCAUUAUGUAAUUCUUAUGCCUUUUCUCUCUAAAUAUGCAAGGUACGUCACAAAGAGGGAAAUAUCUGAAAAUAGGAAUUCUCGACCGAGAAACCGAGAAAAAGGCAGAAAAAUCAAGUUGCUCCAAAUGACCUGAAACUUCAUGCAAAAUCAAGUUGCUCCAGCACCAUAUCAUCUCCAAUCGUAGUUCAUCUCAUGUAUUCAAUCUUUGCCGCAAAACCUCAAAUUGGUAUUUGUGGGUUGCUAGUUAUGUUCAAUACAUCUUUUAGUUGAUGGUAGUUGGAUUACUUGGUGGAAGACAUUAUGUUGAGAUCCUUGAUCAUUAUUAUUAUACUUCUGGUGUUGAACAUGUUGAUAAGGUGUGGGUAGUUACUAUUUCUCCUAAGGACAUGGGAGAAGUCUUGUUAUAAGUAAUCAUAUAAAGUUGGUAUUCGUUCAAUAUUUUGAUGAUAUAUAUGUUGUUACUUCCUUUAGUGGUGUCAUGUGAACAUUGAUUACAUGUCACUUCACCAUGUUAUGGGCCUAAAAAAAGUCAUUGUCGAGUAACAAAUAGAUGAUGGGUUGUGAGAAUGACGGAUGCUUAAACCACAGUUUAUGCGUUGCUUCAUGAGGGGUGAUUUGGAUCCACAUGUUUCAUGCUAUGGUUAGAUUUAUCUUAAUUCUUCUUUCAUAGUUGAGGAUGCAUGCGAGAGGGGUUAAUCAUAAGUAGGUUGUUAGUUCAAGUAAGAACAACACAUUAGCGUCGGUCCACCAACAUAUCAAAUUAUCAAAGUAACAAACACGAACCAACUCAAUAUGAUGAACAUGACUAGACAAAUAUUCCCAUGUGACCUCGGGAGCACUUGCUUUAUAUAAGAGUACUUUCAGGCAUGUUCUUUGCUAUAAAAAGGAUUGGGCUAUCUUGCUGCACCUUUGUUACUAUUUCUACUUGUCACCGGUUACAAAUUGUCUUGCUACAAAACUAUCUAUCACUGCUAUUCACAGCACUUGCGGAGAAUACCUUGUUGAAUACUACUUAUCAUUUCCUUCCGCUCCACGCUGGGUUCGACACUCUUACUUAUUGAAAGGGCUACGAUUGAUCCCCUAUACUUCUCCAUAGAAUCUUAUAUAUGAUGAUCAACUUGCUUCUUCCCAUACAUAUAUAAUGAUCCAUUUGCUCCAGGAUCCAUUUGCUUCUUCCCCUGUUUUUUUAACUCCUAUAGAAUGAUCAAUCACGGUAUGCAUGAGUAUACAUUAUUCUUCCCAUACUAUUUUGUUAGUUCAACUAAAAGAGACACGACAAUCUUAUAUAUGAAUGGCAUACAUUCCUAGCAUAGCAUUGUAACUAAAACAUUGAAGUCGUGCAUUUUUUGAUAAUGCAUCGUUUGCAUACUACUUCUAUAACCGGGAUGGAAAUUACCAUGAAGUAUUGGUGGCAAUUUGCACUAUAAUUACAUGGCAAAGUUGCACUAUAAUUACAUGGCAAAGUUGCAGUGUCGGUGCAUUUAGCGGCAACUACUUCUAUAACCGGGUGGCCACUACCAGCAAAGUUGGGCGGCAUCCCCCCUCCCUAAUCCCUUGAUGAAAAAAAUAUCCGCUUUGUCUUGCCCCUCCCCCAUACCCACCUGACAAGUUAUUGGACGUACGGGCCGCGGGGUGGUAUACCCAAACCUACGGGAGGUGGGGUGGGACGCAGAACGUAGGCUGUUUUGCGUAAAUGGCACACGAGACGUGCGGCAAUCCAUCCUUAGAGUCCAUACAUGUGGUAAAUACCACGACCUUAAAUUUAAUCAACAUGGACUACUACAACAGAAGCAAAAAAUAUACCAUAGAACUAGUAUUCGAAAGAAGGUUUUUAAUGAUAUAGUUUUAGAGUUUUUAAUGGUAUAAUUUUUUGCUUCCGUCGCAGUUAGUCAUAUUUGCUGAAUUUAUGGUACAUAAAUCUUAAAAAAUAUAAUGCAUUACAUUAUGAAACAAAAGGAGUACUUUUCAUGAUGAUUUGACACCACAUACGUGUAUGAAAGAUUGUAAAUAUGACACCGAUGCCAAGCAUGAUUUACGUCGCCAAUUUGGCAUUUGGCACGCCGUGAAUGCCCUUUUCAGCAGAUGAAUCGAAGGUCUUAAAUGGAGUGCAGAGUACUUGUCAGAAACUGACAAGAUGGAACGAAACAUAUCAGUCAGGACUUUUCCCCACCACCGGUGGGAUAUAACAAAGGUCCUAAAAUCAGCGCACAAUAUUGAAAGGCGAAAAAACGUGAUCUUGCUAACUAUCGGUUCUUUAUCUGCAUUGUACUCUCUCCAUUCCAUAAUAUAAUAAUACAAAAAUUUCUAUGACACUAGUUUCGUGUAGAAAAUGCCUUUGUAUUAUAUGAACGGAAAGGAGUAACUUCUACUAUGUGCCUUUCCACAGGUCUCCCAUCCCUGAACGGGCAAGGAAAAGAUCUAUCGAAGAAACGCGACCGAGUAUCCGUUCGCUUCCCCAAAUACGUUUUUAGGCGAAAAAUAGCGCCUCUUGGGGCAGUCGGUGCUAUUUUCGAUGUACAGGAACUCCGGCUUCCAACGUCUCCAGUUGCCCCUUCCUCCUUCAACCGUCGAGUUCGAACUCUGAUUCGACACAUAGUUCAUAUCAAUACAAAUCAAAUAGUUUAAUGAAGCAAGUUCAUAAUUCAAACACAAUUAAAAUACAUCAAACUUGGCAUUGCCUUUGAGACCUCCAUAGGUGUUUCAUCAGAUCGUGUUGCAAUUUUUGUUGUACCUGUAGGUCUCGGAUCUCUUGACGCACAUUAAGGAAGACAACCCAUAAUUUCAGUACCUGAUGAUCAACAGCUGCAAGAGAACAGACAAAUCACCAAACAUCUAGCGGGCGUGGUGGACGGGUAGCCGCCGGUAUCCUCGCUUGCGUGGUCGGACCUUUGGAAAGCUCGGCGAGUAGCGGGGAUGGAGGCCGUCACGACGAAACUCACUCUUUGCGGUAUGGGAAUGGCCUUUCUAGCUGUGAGACAGCGACCGUGGGCAGGGGAAUGGUGCCGGUAUCAAUAUGACGAUGAAAGGGGAAGUGAUGUUCUACCGCGCGUGGAUCGUAUCUGAAUGGGAAAAGGCAUUUCUUGCGGCCACUUUUCCUUCCAUCGGAGCUUCAAGUGCCCCAACGCUUUGGAUUCGGGCUGAAAUCGCUGGACCGAAAAAUGACCUACGGAAUUUGAGGAUAUUUUUUGCGUCGGCGGAAAAGAAGUCCUCUUGAUGGGUCUGUUGUGGUGCGGGUGGAGAUGCUCUCACCUCGAUCAGCAAUGCUACACAUACAUAAGUUUACAUACUCCCUCCUUUCUGGUUUACAGGGCUCAUCUCAAAAUUUUCAGAUUUCCAUUAUAUUAGGCUCAUUUUAAGUCUAAUAGAGUUAAAGUGCUUUGAGUCCCAUGCCAUAUUUAAUUCAUAGAGUUUGAAGAAAAGAGAUGAGUGGCUAUGUAUGCAUCAUUUUCUACAUCCAUCAUGAAAGUCCAAUGAGAAGGAGAAUGUUACAUUUAUUGCCUUGAAAAUUGAAUAUGUGAGUAAAUAUUUCAUUGGCUAGUUAAAGCUAGUGUCAUCCACUUACAAUUCACCUUGGUUGAUGAGAUUUUAGAUUUGAACCCUAUAAACCGGAAAGGAGGGAGUAGGUUUUACAAAGAAGUGGAUUUUAAUUAAAGAUUAAGGGGAAUGAGGGCUCCACCCUCCCUUGAAAAUCAAAAAAAGUGAUUAGUUAGAAAGAAAAAAUCGUAAUCAACGUGUAAUUUAAGUAACUCUUUGUAUGUCUAACAUUUUUGUGAUCUCGACUUCUCGACUGUGAUAAGACCACCCGUCGGCACGGAUUCACGGACAAUAAAACCAUCCGCCCCAUUCCAAUUCAUCGACAUUGACAUGCCGCCAUACCUGCAUGCAUCAUUGCAUCUCUCCCUCCGCCCGUGACCUGAGAAGGACGGGCCGCAUGUCGCACCUCUACCUAUUCUAUCCUCCUCUCCUGCGCGGACGACGCACCGCCACCCCGUGCAACUCGCCUAUAAGAAGCGGCGUACACAAUGCUAAGCCUAAGCUCACUCCAACAGAGCCACACACGACACAAUCUCCUUAGCAUUACCAGAGCCUCCCAGUUAGCAAUGGCAAAGUGUCUCGCCGUCGCGCUCCUGCUAGUGGUGCUGCUCGCGUCCUGCGACGGGAGGGAGCUGAACGAGAAGGCUGCAGCGACACGCGGUGCCGGUGUCGGCGGCGGCGUCGGCGAGUCCAAGGCUAUGGGGUUGCCGGACUUGCCAGCUGUGACGCUCCCCACGACCCCGACGCUCCCCACGGCACCGACGCUCCCCACACUCCCGACGCUCCCUACGGUCCCGACUCUCCCGCUACUGGGAACCAUUACGGGUACCAGUACCAUUACCGGCCCGGUGGUGGUGCUUCCGGCGGUCCCUGCUCACCCAUGAUUAUCUCUACUUGUACGGUGUACGUGCCUAGAUCAUAGCACCGUUCGCAGGGAAAGACACCGGCGUUGCGUUCAUGUCCAAGGCCCUUCAUUGAUGGGAGUCUGUAUUUAUCUUCAGUUAAAGUUCUUGUAUUGUUCGUUCGUUGAUGUGUUUUUACAUGUAUCAUGGACAUCAUAAAUACUACCGGUACUUUGUCAGCGUGAUCACCUUGUUGGAUAGACGUACGAACAAGUCGCAGCAUCAACGUCCCACUUCGUCACUCUAAUAACAAAGCCCCAAGUCCAGAGUUGUUCAUUUAAAAGAACUACUUCCUCCGAUCUAAAUUAAUCGACGCAACCUCUAUGCAAGCAAGUUAGUUGUCGCAGGGUUUCAUGGCUUGCUUUCUACAUGCGUUUUGCAUGAUUGUGUUUUGUUCUUGACUGGGGGACUAUUUUGAGUAAUGAUAUGUAUCCACGAACUUUACGAGCGUUUUAUGGGGUGAGUUUAAGCUCGCAAGUUGUGUUUCG